rnacentral:rRNA from 1 species
GAUGAACGCUGGCGGCGUGCCUAAUACAUGCAAGUCGAGCGAACAGACGAUGAGCUUGCUUCUCUGACGUUAGCGUCGGACGGGUGAGUAACACGUGGAUAACCUACCUAUAAGACUGGGAUAACUUCGGGAAACCGGAGCUAAUACCGUAUAAUAUAUUGAACUUCAUGGUUCAAUAGUGAAAGACGGUUUUGCUGUCACUUAUAAAUGGAUCCUCGCCGCAUUAGCUAGUUGGUAAGGUAACGGCUUACCAAGGCAACGAUGCGUAGCCGACCUGAGAGGGUGAUCGGCCACACUGGAACUGAGCCACGGUCAAGACUCCUACGGGAGGAAGCAGUAGGGAAUCUUGCGCAAUGGGCGAAGGCCUGACGGAGCACCGCCGCGUGAGUGAUGAAGGUCUUCGGAUCGUAAAACUCUGUUAUUAGGGAAGAACAAAUGUGUAAGUAACUAUGCACGUCUUGACGGUACCUAAUCAGAAAGCCACGGCUAACUACGUG